rnacentral:lncRNA from 1 species
AACCUCACCGCUUCAAAAUCGUCACCGGGGCAGACUCCUUCGGCUGCUCUCUCAAAGAAGCCCUAGUCUCCCACCUCAAGUCCCUCAACAUCGAAGUCGAAGACGUCGGCACCGACUCCUACUACUCCGUCGCCGCCGAAAUCGGCCGCCGCGUCAGCUCCUCCCCCGAAGACACCCGUGGCCUCCUCGCCUGUGGCACAGGCGUUGGCGUCGCCAUGUUCGCCAACAAAUUCCCAGGCGUCUUCGCCGCUACCUGCCUCUCUGCCGCCGACGCCCUCAAUGCCCGUUCCAUCAACAACUCCAACGUCCUGGCCGUCUCUGGCAUGUCCACCGCACCUGAAUCCGCUGUCGAAAUCCUCGACACUUGGCUCAAAACUCCCUUCAAAUCCCCCUGCCCCGCCUCCGAGUUCAAACCCUGGCCCAAAGAAAUCGAAUCCUUCCUCGAUAACUCAGUCUCCGAAAUGUCCAAAAUCGGAUCCGAAAAGACUAAAACCUCGGAUUCGUGUUCGAUUUGUUGUCUGGUGAAGAACCGAGAACUGAAUCCGAUUGAUAUAAUUCCGGGAGGGUCGAUGAAGAUACUGAGGGAGAGCCCCACGUCGGCGGUGGUGAGAUUUGAGGCCGGGAGUGUGGAGCCGGCGCACCACCACACGUUUGGGCACGAUUUGGUGGUGAUGAAAGGGAAGAAGAGUGUAUGGAAUUUGACCAAGAAAGAGAGGUUUGACCUGAUUGUUGGGGACUACUUGUAUACGCCUGCAGGGGAUGUUCAUAGAGUGAAGUACUAUGAAGAUACAGAGUUCUUCAUCAAAUGGGAUGGGCAUUGGGAUAUGUUCUUUGAUGAAGAUCUUGCAACUGCAAAAGAAGCUGCUGAGA